GCGCGAAACCUCUGCAAUGCGGGAAACCGUGACAGGGGGAUCCCAAGUGCUCAUGCAUUGCAUGGGCUGUUCUUUGGUCUAAGUAACCAGAGGAGUAAGGGCUGGGCAAGACCGGUGCCAGCCGCCGCGGUAAUACCGGCAGCUCGAGUGGUAGCCGCGAUUAUUGGGCCUAAAGCGUUCGUAGCCGGAUAAGUAAGUCUUUGGUUAAAUCCUGCAACUUAACUGUGGGAAAUCUAGGGAUACUGCUUGUCUUGAGACCGGGAGAGGUUAGAGGUACUCCUAGGGUAGGGGUGAAAUCCUGUAAUCCUAGGGGGACCACCUGUGGCGAAGGCGUCUAACUGGAACGGGUCUGACGGUGAGGGACGAAACCUAGGGGAGCGAGCCGGAUUAGAUACCCGGGUAGUCCUAGGCGUAAAUGAUGCGAGUUAAGUGUGGGGGCAUCUACGAGAUGGCCCUGUGCUGUAGGGUAGCCGUUAAACUCGCCGCCUGGGGAGUACGGUCGCAAGGCUGAAACUUAAAGGAAUUGGCGGGGGAGCGACCACG
rnacentral:rRNA from 1 species